rnacentral:rRNA from 1 species
GGACCUGCUGCUCAGAGAGGGGUCGAUGCCCUAUCAGCUUGUUGGCGGGGUAAAGGCCCACCAAGGCUUUGACGGGUAGCCGGACUGAGAGGUUGGCCGGUCACACUGGGACUGAGACACUGCCCAGACUCCUACGGGAGGCUGCAGUCGAGAAUUUUCCGCAAUGGGCGAAAGCCUGACGGAGCGACGCCGCGUGCAGGAUGAAGGCCUUCGGGUUGUAAACUGCUGUCACAUGUUAAGAAUGGUCGGGCGUUAAUAGCGCCAGGCCUGACAAAGGCAUGAGAGGAAGUCACGGCUAACUUCGUGCCAGCAGCCGCGGUAAGACGAAGGUGGCAAGCGUUGCUCGGAAUUACUGGGCAUAAAGAGCGCGUAGGUGGCUCGGUAAGUCGGUGGUGAAAUCCUAUGGCUCAACCAUAGAACUGCCAUCGAUACUGCCGGGCUUGAGGACAGGAGGGGAGAGUGGAACUCCAGGUGUAGCGGUGAAAUGCGUAGAUAUCUGGAGGAACGCCGGUGGCGAAAGCGACUCUCUGGACUGUUUCUGACACUGAGGCGCGAAAGCUAGGGGAGCAAACAGGAUUAGAUACCCUGGUAGUCCUAGCUGUAAACGAUGGGCACUGGGUAGAGGGUGUUUCGACACAUUCUCUUCCGGAGCUAAUGUGUUAAGUGCCCCGCCUGGGGAGUACGGUCGCAAGGCUAAAACUCAAAGGAAUUGACGGGGGCUCACACAAGCGGUGGAGCAUGUUGCUUAAUUCGAAGCAACGCGAAGAACCUUACCCGGGUUUGAAGUGCUGGGAUUAGCUUCCUGAAAGGGAAGUGACGCCCUCGUGGUGGAACCAGCAUAGGUGUUGCAUGGCUGUCGUCAGCUCGUGUCGUGAGAUGUCGGGUUAAGUCCCUGAACGAGCGAAACCCUUGUCCCUAGUUGCCAGCACUUAGGGUGGGGACUCUAGGGAGACUGCCGUUGUUAAACGGAGGAAGGUGGGGACGACGUCAAGUCAUCAUGGCCUUUAUGUCCGGGGCUGCAAACGUGCUACAAUGGCCGGUACAAAGGGACGCAAUACCGCGAGGUUGAGCAAAUCCCACAAAGCCGGUCCCAGUCCGGAUUGGAGGCUGCAACUCGCCUCCAUGAAGUCGGAAUCGCUAGUAAUCGCGGAUCAGCUACGCCGCGGUGAAUAUGUUCCUGAGCCUUGUACACACCGCCCGUCAAGCCAAACGCUGGCAGUGCCUGAAGUCGUGAUCCC